UACGAAGGGGGCUAGCGUUGUUCGGAAUCACUGGGCGUAAAGCGCACGCAGGCGGAUUGAUAAGUCAGGGGUGAAAUCCCGGAGCUCAACUUCGGAAUUGCCUUUGAUACUGUCUGUCUUGAGUCCGGGAGAGGUGAGUGGAAUUCCUAGUGUAGAGGUGAAAUUCGUAGAUAUUAGGAAGAACACCAGUGGCGAAGGCGGCUCACUGGCCCGGUACUGACGCUCAUGUGCGGAAGCGUGGGGAGCAAACAAG
rnacentral:rRNA from 1 species